rnacentral:misc_RNA from 1 species
UCUCCGUAGGUGAACCUGCGGAGGGAUCACUACAGGCUUGCAAAAGCUCUGAAACCACUGUUUAUCUACCUGAAUCUGCUUCGGCGGGCGGCUCCAUGGCGGGGCCGUAGCUGCGAGGCGCCCACCGAAUACCCCUAAACUCUGUCGUCUGGAGAGUCUCUGAGUAUCAUAUUAAACAAAAAAAAACUUUCAACAACGGAUCUCUUGGCUCUG